rnacentral:rRNA from 1 species
AUUGAACGCUGGCGGCAGGCCUAACACAUGCAAGUCGAGCGAGCGGCGGACGGGUGAGUAAUGCCUGGGAAUUGCCCAGUCGAGGGGGAUAACAGUUGGAAACGACUGCUAAUACCGCAUACGAUUGGAUUGCCCAGGUGGGAUUAGCUAGUGGGGGAGGUAAUGGCUCACCAAGGCGACGAACCCUAGCUGGUCUGAGAGGAUGAUCAGCCACACCUGAAUGGAGACACGGUCCAGAAUCCUACGGGAGGCAGCAGUAGAGAAUAGUGCACAAUGGGGGAAGCCCUGAUGCAGCCAUGCCGAGUGUGUGAAGAAGGCCUUCGGGUUGUAAAGCACUUUCAGCGAGGAGGCGUUACUCGCAGAAGAAGCACCGGCUAACUCCGAGCCAGCAGCCGCGUAAUUC